ACCCUUACGAACCCGCAAUAGCUUCUUCGGGUUGAUAAUAUUUUCUUACAUGGACUCUCAUGUGUUCGUAUUGUCCUGUUUGAUCCCUGCAAUGUGCACCAUGAUUAGCUUGCUCGCUUCAAGAGGUCGUCACAAAGUACAGUCCCAACUCUUGCGAUCUUUUUGUCGGGCCUCAUUUUCUCCAUCCUGUAAGAUCUCAUGAGAUCCAUGUGAGGGAUAUUAUCAACUCGAAGAAGUUAUUUGAGUACGCAGUCAUCAC
rnacentral:pre_miRNA from 1 species